UUCUCUCCACGGAUCCACCCUUCAAAUUCAAAUUCCUGGAUAAGUUUAAUAUCUUCUCGAUUCUUCUUUAUCUUACUUCCACCGCCUCACCUUCUCCUUUACCGCCACUGCUUUAACUCUACCAGGUUAGGUUAGUUACUCCACCUACCCUUCUUCUACUAAACAACUUUCCAUUCCACCGUUCCUCUAAACCGCUUUUCCCUAACAUACUAAUAAUCUACGUAGGCUUCUCUAUCACAGAAAAACUUCGCCACUGAUCUCCUCUCUCCAUCAGCUUUCAGAAAUCUCUAUCGUCGAACCCAUUGGAUUCUACAGUUCCACAACAGAAAAUGGUUAGUCCAUUUUACGGUUUUACUUGUUUCUAAGAAAUUGGCGAUUUUCACAAAUUAACUGGAUUUAGUUGUGGUUUUUUUGAACUUGAUGGUGUGUGAUCCGAUACCUCAAGGAUUGAAGCAUAUAAAUGGCUGAUUUUUCAGCAUAUUGUUGUUCAUAUAUUUAUUAGAUAUAACAGGCUUUUAUUAAUUAAUACUUUUUUAUAUUGUAUCCAAUUUGAUGUAGUCUAUUGAAGAUAUGAAACAUGUACUUCAAGAAGAGGUUGCAAGUUUUCUUCUCCUGUUAGGACGCUGUCAUCCACUAACACAAGCCCUCAUCUUCCUUCCUCACUUGGAUUCAUAGUUGAUUGUUGGACCAAAACGGGGAGAUCACAGAUUCCCUUGAUGCCAUCAAACGAAGUCUAUGUUGCGGGUUCUAGAAUUAUAACAAGAUCUGAAACAAUUUGUUAGGAUUUAUUUUUUUCUUUUCCGCUAUGUUUUCUUCUGGUCUUUCCCUAGGUUUUUAAUUCACUUCUCUUACUUCUCCUCUCUUUAGAGUACAAUUUAUGUGAGGCUUUAGGUUAAACUGGCAAUGAGAAAUCACCUGAGAAAACUUUUGUCAACUUUAAUGUUAUAUUCUUUUCUAGGAGCAAGGUUGUGAGUCAUUAUUGUAGGGAAAUUUAGGAUUUGUGGUGGAGAUCUGGAUACCAACUUGGAUCGUGAUAUCACUUUCCGAACUGAUAUUUCUACCCUAUGCCUGUGUUACAAGAAAUUCAGCCUAGGAUAAUCCAAGUGGACACUUACGUUUCUAGGCACAAAAAACAUAAGC
rnacentral:lncRNA from 1 species